GACGAACGCUGGCGGCGUGCCUAAUACAUGCAAGUAGAACGCUGAAGGAGGAGCUUGCUUCUCUGGAUGAGUUGCGAACGGGUGAGUAACGCGUAGGUAACCUGCCUGGUAGCGGGGGAUAACUAUUGGAAACGAUAGCUAAUACCGCAUAAUAGUAGAUGUUGCAUGACAUUUGCUUAAAAGGUGCAAUUGCAUCACUACCAGAUGGACCUGCGUUGUAUUAGCUAGUUGGUGAGGUAACGGCUCACCAAGGCGACGAUACAUAGCCGACCUGAGAGGGUGAUCGGCCACACUGGGACUGAGACACGGCCCAGACUCCUACGGGAGGCAGCAGUAGGGAAUCUUCGGCAAUGGACGGAAGUCUGACCGAGCAACGCCGCGUGAGUGAAGAAGGUUUUCGGAUCGUAAAGCUCUGUUGUAAGAGAAGAACGAGUGUGAGAGUGGAAAGUUCACACUGUGACGGUAUCUUACCAGAAAGGGACGGCUAACUACGUGCCAGCAGCCGCGGUAAUACGUAGGUCCCGAGCGUUGUCCGGAUUUAUUGGGCGUAAAGCGAGCGCAGGCGGUUAGAUAAGUCUGAAGUUAAAGGCUGUGGCUUAACCAUAGUACGCUUUGGAAACUGUUUAACUUGAGUGCAAGAGGGGAGAGUGGAAUUCCAUGUGUAGCGGUGAAAUGCGUAGAUAUAUGGAGGAACACCGGUGGCGAAAGCGGCUCUCCGGCUUGUAACUGACGCUGAGGCUCGAAAGCGUGGGGAGCAAACAGG
rnacentral:rRNA from 1 species